rnacentral:misc_RNA from 1 species
UACGGAGGGUGCAAGCGUUGUCCGGAUUUAUUGGGUAUAAGGGGUGCGUAGGCGGAAGAUUAAGUCAGUGGUGAAAGCCCACAGCUCAACUGUGGAACUGCCAUUGAUACUGGUUAUCUUGAGUGUAGAUGAGGCAGGCGGAAUUUACGAUGUAGCGGUGAAAUGCAUAGAUAUCGUAAAGAAUACCUAUAGCGAAGGCAGCUUGCUAAACUACUACUGACGCUGAGGCACGAAAGCAGGGGUAGCGAACAGG